AUUGAACGCUGGCGGCAGGCCUAACACAUGCAAGUCGAACGAGUGGCGGACGGGUGAGUAAUGUAUGGGAAACUGCCUGAUGGAGGGGGAUAACUACUGGAAACGGUAGCUAAUACCGCAUACCAUCGGAUGUGCCAAGAUGGGAUUAGCUAGAAGGUGGGGUAAAGGCUCACGUAGGCGACGAUCCCUAGCUGGUUUGAGAGGAUGACCAGCCACACUGGAACUUAGACAUGGGUCCGACUCCUACGUGAGGCAGCAGUGGGGAUGAUUGCACAAUGGGCGCAAGCCUGAUGCAGCCAUGCCGCGUGUAUGAAGAAGGCCUUCGGGUUGUAAAGUACGUUCAGCGGGGAGGCGUUACCCGCAGAAGAAGCACCGGCUAACUCCGUGCCAGCAGCCGCGGUAAUAC
rnacentral:rRNA from 1 species